rnacentral:rRNA from 1 species
UACGUAGGGACCAAGCGUUGUUCGGAUUUACUGGGCGUAAAGGGCGCGUAGGCGGCAAUUCAAGUCAUCUGUGAAAUCUCCGAGCUUAACUCGGAACGGUCAGAUGAUACUGUUUUGCUAGAGUACAGAAGGGGCAAUCGGAAUUCUUGGUGUAGCGGUGAAAUGCGUAGAGAUGUGGAGGAACACCGAUGGCGGAAGGCAGCCAGUCUGGACCGACACUGACGCUGAGGCGACGAAAGCGUGGGGAGCAAACAGG